GGCGUGGAAGCGUUCGCGUAAUCAGUCUUCCAAACUGAUUACGCGGGUUCGAUUCCCGUCAUCCGCUCCA
rnacentral:tRNA from 1 species